UACGUAGGGGGCAAGCGUUAUCCGGAUUUACUGGGUGUAAAGGGAGCGUAGACGGUGAUGCAAGUCAGAAGUGAAAGCCCGGGGCUCAACCCCGGGACUGCUUUGGAAACUGCAUAGCUGGAGUGCUGGAGAGGCAAGCGGAAUUCCGUGUGUAGCGGUGAAAUGCGUAGAUAUACGGAGGAACACCAGUGGCGAAGGCGGCCUGCUGGACAAUAACUGACGCUGAGGCGCGAAAGCGUGGGGAGCAAACAGG
rnacentral:rRNA from 1 species